rnacentral:lncRNA from 1 species
GCAUAUUCACCAGUCUCAGUUUAGAGAUGAGACGACUAAAGCACAGAGAUGCUAAGCAACUUGUUCAAGAUCAUACAGCUAAUAAGUGACAGAGCUGGGUUCAGGCAGGCACAGCCCAGCCCCAGCAUUAAUAGUCUCAACCACCAAAUUAUAAGUCUCUAAACUGGAACAAGUCUCCCUCUUACCCUCUUACUUCCUCCACCAGAGAUUGUCCUGCAUGGGUUAGCACAGAGCUGGAAUCAGACCAGGUUCUUGCCAGUACCCUACGUGGCUAACCAGGUGGCUUGAAACAGAGAGGGCAUCUCUGCCUCAAGCUUAGUCUUGGAGUUAUUGUUGCCCAUCAUGGGUAGAGCCAAGGGAGGAUGAAUAUGGUCCAGGGUUCACCCAUUAUGUAGAUGAACUCUGGUCAUAAUGGGGUUAUGGUCUUGUGGUUUCCUCCUCUCUUACCCCAAAUGGGAGUUUUCCUUUCAAUUAUCUUUAUAACAAGUGUGGUUGCAGCUUCAAACCACAAACCACUAAUAUUUUUAUUGGCAAGUGCAUCCUCUAAUACGUAUAGUUCUGUUGAAUGGGUGAAAUAUUUAUCACCAGAUGCAUUUGUUUUUGUAGUGUUUAUAAUGCUUGGAAAGGGGCUGAGUGUCUCUGGCCUUAAUCCCUUCUUUGGCUCUACUGCCACUGUCCUGGUUUAGCUCCCCCCAAAUUUUACCUGUAUAGCCUCUGAACUGGUCUCCCAGACUCCAGGCUGACCCCUCUAAUCCAUCUUCCACAUUGGCUUACAGCUCCAUCUUUCUAAAGUACAGCUUUUGCCAUGCCAUUCCUUUGCUCAAAAAUCAUUUAUUGACUCCCAGUUGCAGCUAAUUGUAAGUUCCCAUCACCUGGUUCCUGUAGCCCUUCAGGAACUUUCCUUCCAUAAACCUUUAUCAUGAACCUUAUACAUUAGCCACACUGGACAAGUUUGCAUUUUCUAGGCCUGUCCUG